rnacentral:pre_miRNA from 1 species
UUUGAGGGGAAUGCUGCGUGGUCCAAGGAGAUCGAUCAUAUAUAACUCUACCUUUCACUACACACCAAAUUCAUAAAUAUAUUCACCAAAGUUCAUCAGAUCAUUCAGAUGAAAUAAUAGUAUAUAACAUCUGCAGAUUAUGUUUUAUGUCUCCUCGGACCAGGCUUCAUUCCCCUCAAU